UCUAAAACAUAUAAUAAAACUUUGAAUUUUAUUAAGGGAUUAGACUCCCUUUUAGAU
rnacentral:tRNA from 1 species